AAAUAGGUCUAUUGCAAUGACAGUUGUAGCAACAGUUACAUAACCGUUGCAAUAGACCAUCUAUUAGAACGGUUUUACCCGUUGCAUAAGCGCGAACCUAUUGGAACAUCUCUAAAAGUAAAUCGUUACAAUAGUACAAUAACCGUUGCUACAGAUUUAUCUAUCGCAGCAGUUGUCGUAACCAUUGCAAUAUCAUAUGGUAACGGUUAUUUGGAAAUUUUGGCUUUUUGCAACGGUUUAGUUUUCCGCCCAUAAUUUCCCUCUUCUAAUUUCACUAAACCCAAUUUUACUAGAGCCUAGCCUUUUUUUUAAUUCCUAAAACUUGUUCUCUUAACCUUAGAACAUAUCAAAAUAUCCCUACACUUCUUGUAGCUUCAACCCCUUGAAACCCUAACCCCUCCGGCGAGUCACUUCUGCAAGUCACUCUGUCAAGGUUCUAGCACAUCUCUUCAACCUCACAGAGCCUAGGGAAAGUAAUAUAAUGGUAGCGAUGAAGAGUCAAGGUCUGGUUCUUUCAGGUUGCCCUUCUUGAAGGGCCUGCUUUAUGGUGCAAGAGUCCCUUUCCUCUGAGAUCCAUGUAUCUGCUACCAGCUGAAGUGAGACCAUCAAAGUUCUCUGUGCUUCAGUAAGUUACCAAUCUUGUUUUAUUAAGAUUUUAUUUUGUAAUUUAUCUCUAAAUGGGUGAAUAAAAUUAUUUGGUUAAUAUCCAAUUAGGUACCCCUAACUGUGUGGGUAAAAAAUGAAUUGGAAUUUUCCAAGUGUGUCAUCUGAUUCUGUUUAUGGUAUUUGCGAGCUUGUAUGCUUGAUUGAUUUUUCACUCUUGAGCUUUUGGAUUUCACUGUAUUAUUUCUGCUUUGUUAUUAUAUAUUACCCCUUGUGCUAUUUCUAGAGAAGUUUUGAAGCAAAUGGGUAUAAUUGUAGAUUUAAUUAUUGGCACUACCUAGGAGUGAAAUGUUUGUAGCGCAUUGAAUUGAAGUUUCAAAAAUUUGGGGGGAAAUAAGCCCCGUAUUUGUUGAAGCAGUAUUAAAAUAUUUAGGCUCACAAGUGUUUGAAAUUAGUUCUCAAUGAAUUCCUUUGAGUGUCCUAUACAAAUAAUGUUGCAAUAGAAGAAAGGUUGAGUGCAUAUCAGCAUGAUAAUUUAUUUUUUAAGCUUAUUGUAUUGAUCAUUCUAUCUAGUCAUUCGUGAGACCAAAACUCAAAAACGAGCUUUCAGUAAAUGGGAGAUUACAUUUUAUCGUAAUGUUUGUUUCAACUUAUCUCAGUGCUUAACAUUUCAAUAUAAACUUUCAAAUAUCUUACUGGUUCUUACUUUUAGAAGUAAUCACUUCACGUAAUUUGUUACUGGUUGAUGAAUAUUACUUUAUUUAUCAUCUAGUUAAGUGAAUUUAUAUACAGUGCGAGAAUAUAAGAUUAAUAUCUUGUAUACUUUACAAAGGUCACUUGGGGUAGAUUGGAUAUCAAAUGGUACUUCCUGUUGCUUCUUCCUCUUAUCACUAAUUUGUUUUGCUCUUUUUGAUUAGCUUAUGCUAAACGAGAUAUAGUUGGAAGGGUAUACUAAUUCUGUAUCGGGAUUACAUUUAAGUCCUUUUGUUAUAUUGAUGUUUGAAUUCCUCUCAUUCUCUCAAAACAGAAUUUGAGAAUACCCCUUUGAGAUUAAUUAAACUACUUGAAAAAUUCCAGAAUAUUCCAUUUUGGUCUGUCUUUGAAAUCUUCUUAUAUUGUUUCUUUAAUUCACUUGUGUUUGAUAGGUUCUGUCUGGGAUUUACAUUGCAUAUAUCAUCUGUAGUAUAUGUAUAUUUCUCGCACAAGGUAGGUGUUGUAAUCCAUGAAAUCUAAGUAUUUCCCCGAGAGGCAAUUUAUUGUAUCAUUGCUUAUGUUUAAUUUUAGGUACAGAAAUAUCUGCAUCAAGUCUCUGGUUCCAUAUAGAAAAUGAAGCUUGCAGUGAUAACAUGGCCAACUCAAUUUACAUGCAGGUUUUAAUUUGAAGGGGGCUAAUUAGUUUUAACCUUUUUUUCUCCUGUAGGAAUGUCCAAGAUUCAGCUCAAAACUUGCAUAUAAUCCUUAUAAUGAGCCCAACAUUGAAGUUUUCAGGUUGUAGAAGUAUAUUUGUCCAUGAUUAUUCCUGCACAAGGUGCUUUAUAUGGGCAGUGUUAUCAAUUCAUUAUCCCAACAUUUGUAGUCUUGUGUGGCAUGCAUAGCUAUGUGCUAUGAUCUGCAACUAUUGAUAGAUUUUAGCAUCACAUUAUUGACUAACUCCAACUUAUUGAUUAUUCAUUACCAUAUAAAUUUUUUGCUAAUAUUUUUUAUGCAGUAUUUGGUUUUGCAGGUAAAUUGGGAGAUUAAAGGUGAGAGUUAUGUGGGUAAUCAACCCUUGUACGAUCUUGAAGAUCAACACAAGAGAUUAAGGUGAGAGCUUUCUAAGUAAUCAAACUUUUGUUUCAGUUGUAUCUUGUUUAUUCUUUUUUUUAUUUGUUUUAGUUUAGCAUUGAUAGACAAGAGGGGUUGCUCUAAUGGUAAGCAACCUCCACUUCCAACCAAGAGGUUGUGAGUUCGAGUCACCCCAAGAGCAAGGUGGGAAGUUCUUGGAGGGAAGGAUGUCGAGGGUCUAUUGAAAAUAGUCUCUCUAUCUCAUGGUAGGGGUAAGGUCUGCGUAAACACUACCCUCCCCAGACCUCACUAGUGGGAUUAUACUGGGUUGUUGUUGUUGUAGUUGUAGUUUAGCAUUGAUCUGGUCUAUCCCUUCAAAUGCUCUCACAUAAUUCUUUUUUGGUCUAGCACCCUUUUGACUUUUGAAUUCUCUACCUUUAUCCAUUACUAUGGAUGCAUCACAUUCCUACAACAUAAGAAAAAAUAAUUUGGACUUUUUGUCAAAAUUUAUGUGAAAUAAAUUAUAAUCUUACCUUUAUUAAAUCCGCUCUAAAUUCUAAGUCCACGUCGUUGGAACAAGAUUUCUACUCGUUGUUGUUGGAACAAUACUUUUACCAUUUCACUGUAUGCAUGUAAUUGUAAAAUCCACCACAUGAUAGUUCAUGACUAAUAGAACUUGCACAAUGUGAUAGUUCAUGGCUGCUGGACAUUCAUUUGACUAUACACUAGCAGCUUGCUUCACUUGUAUAAUUAGUAUUGUACGAUGACAAUGUUCCCGUGAUAGUUUGAUUGGUAUCUCUCUUCUCUAUUGUACAUAUGGUCGCAAUUGGUGCCUUUUUCAGUAGUAAUUUCUGAAUCAUCAAUGGAAAAACAUUGCAACACCAUUUUGAUGAAACUAUUAUAUUUUGGUCAGGUUAAUAUAUUUUUAACUGUUGUGUCUUAUUCCAGCACUUAGUUCCUCUCUGGGACUGCUUUGAAUUUGCAAUUCUGGGAGUAAUUUGAAUUUGUAGUUGCAAAGUCUUAUUGACUUCCUUGAGCUGAAUUGAAUUGUUAAACAUUACAACACCAUUUUGAUUGCAAUCAGUAAUCUCUCUUUUACUGGCAAUAUGUAGAGCCUUUAGUUCAACUCUAGGUUGGAAAACUUGAUUUAAAUUAUUUUUCAUUAUAAGUGCUGGCUUAUUUAGGGAAGGAUUUGCAAUCAGUGAUCUCUUUUCUAACUGGCCAUAUGUAGAUCCUUUAGUUUAUCUCUAGGACUGCUUUGAAUUUAAAUUUGCGAAGCUUUAUUGACUUCUUUAAUUUGAGCUGAAUUGCACUUGAAGUUUCAAGGUACUACUUAGAUUGUUCUGGAUGUUAAAUUCUUUUGAAAAAUUUACUAAAUCAUUUAUUUUCAUCUUUUAUAGGUGGAUCGGAUGAGCAAAGAGUGGAUGAAAGUGGCAAAAAUAUUGCUUAGAGUUAUGGGAUUAUUUUGAAAAUAUUAGUGUAUUCAGAUAAUUUAGGAAUCUUUUAUUUUGGAUUUCCAUUACUUUGAGAGCUUAUGUAUGCUUUUGAAUUGUUAGACAAUAAUAUAAAUUUUAUUAUUGUGGAAAGUCUAAAUAAAUUGUUGCAAUAGCUUCAACAAAUUGUUUGCAAGCCUUCAUGAACCGUUGCGGUAGCUUCUAAUAAUUGUUGCAAUAGUCUCAAUAAACUAUUGCAGUAGCUCCUAAUAACUGUUACAAUAGCCUCUAAUAACCGUCACAAUAUAUCAUCUAAACCGUUGCUAUAGCAGA
rnacentral:lncRNA from 1 species